UAAGUUGGAAGAAUGUAUUUG
rnacentral:miRNA from 1 species